GACGAACGCUGGCGGCGUGCUUAACACAUGCAAGUCGAACGAUGAAGCUGGAGCUUGCUCCGGUGGAUUAGUGGCGAACGGGUGAGUAACACGUGAGCAAUCUGCCCUUGACUCUGGGAUAACUGCGGGAAACUGUAACUAAUACCGGAUACGAGAUCUGGAGGCAUCUCCGGAUCUGCAAAGAAUUUCGGUCAAGGAUGAGCUCGCGGCCUAUCAGCUUGUUGGUGAGGUAAUGGCUCACCAAGGCAACGGCGGGUAGCCGGCCUGAGAGGGUGCCCGGCCACAAUGGGACUGAGACACGGCCCAGACUCCUACGGGAGGCAGCAGUGGGGAAUAUUGCACAAUGGGCGAAAGCCUGAUGCAGCAACGCCGCGUGAGGGAUGAAGGCCUUCGGGUUGUAAACCUCUUUUAGUAGGGAAGAAGCGAAAGUGACGGUAACUACAGAAAAAGCACCGGCUAACUACGUGCCAGCCGCCGCCGUAA
rnacentral:rRNA from 1 species